CUUUGCUUCUGUUUGGCAGUGAGGAAACAGUACCUAGUAGAGUAAAGGAAUAGUUUGGUAAAACUACAAGAAGCAAGGUAAACUAAGACAGAGGAGCCACAUUCCCCCCCGUAGGGCUCCCCCCCCCAAGGCCCUCGGACAGGGACACGCAGCACGGACAGGAGACAGCUGGUAGCGUAGCAGUUUGAGCUGCUGCGUUUGGACCCAAAUGUUGGGGGUCUGAAUCCCACCACUUGCUGUCAUACCCUUCAUCAAGGUAUUUAUCCUAAAUUGGUUCAGUAAAAAAAUUACCUAGCUGUAUAAAUGGGUAAAUAAUUGUAAGUAACUUAACUGUUUGACAACCCUGCCCCCCAGGGAAAAGAAAAAGUACAGUAAAUAACAUUAAAAUCUGAAUCACUAAUAUUUCACGCACCUAUUCACAGUUGUUGAUGACACUUUUGAACUAUUUCUAGAAAGAGCACCAUGCUUUACAGGGUAGUAGACAUGGAACACUUGAUAUCAGGAGUAUCAGGAUCCCUCA
rnacentral:lncRNA from 1 species